UUUAAAGAGAGUUUGAUCCUGGCUCAGGACGAACGCUGGCGGCGUGCCUAAUACAUGCAAGUCGAACGAACGGAGGAAGAGCUUGCUCUUCCAAAGUUAGUGGCGGACGGGUGAGUAACACGUGGGCAACUUGCCUGUAAGUUGGGGAUAACUCCGGGAAACCGGGGCUAAUACCGAAUGAUAGA
rnacentral:rRNA from 1 species